rnacentral:rRNA from 1 species
UAUCGCAUGGUAUGUUAUUGAAAACCGUGGUGGUCACGGAUUGGCUCGCGUCUGAUUAGCUAGUCGGCGGGGUAACGGCCCACCGAGGCGACGAUCAGUAGGGGUUCUGAGAGGAAGGUCCCCCACAAUGGAACUGAGACACGGUCCAUACUCCUACGGGAGGCAGCAGUGAGGAAUAUUGGUCAAUGGGCGGAAGCCUGAACCAGCCAUGCCGCGUGCGGGAAGACGGCCCUACGGGUUGUAAACCGCUUUUGUGUGGGAGCAAUAAGGGUGUCGCGCACACCUGAUGAGAGUACCAUACGAAUAAGCAUCGGCUAACUCCGUGCCAGCAGCCGCGGUAAUACGGAGGAUGCGAGCGUUAUCCGGAUUCAUUGGGUUUAAAGGGUGCGUAGGCUGUGCGAUAAGUCAGGGGUGAAAUACCGUCGCUCAACGUCGGGGCUGCCCUUGAUACUGUCGCGCUGGAGUGCGGAUGCCGCCGGAGGAAUGAGUGGUGUAGCGGUGAAAUGCAUAGAUAUCACUCAGAACACCGAUUGCGAAGGCAUCUGGCGAAUCCGCCACUGACGCUGAGGCACGAAAGCGU